GUCUAUUUGGAGUUAUUAAUAGUCUGGCCUGCUCACUGAUAAAAUAUUAAAGAGCCGCGGUAAUUUGACCGUGCAAAGGUAGCAUAAUCAUUAGUUCUUUAAUUGAGAACUGGCAUGAAAGGUCGGACAAGAGAAAAUCUGUCUCCAUUGUUAAAAUUAAAAUUGACUUUUAAGUGAAAAGGCUUAAAUACUUCAGGGGGACGAUAAGACCCUAUAAAACUUUAUAUAUGCAACAAUACAGUUGAAUUAAAGCAUAAAAACUUAUUCGAUAAAAUAUAUUUAGUUGGGGCGACUGAGGUAUAAUUUAUAGUAACUGAUUAAAAGCAAGACAAAUAAUAUUUGAUUAACUUUAAUUGAUCCUUUUUAAAGAUUAAAAGAUUAA
rnacentral:rRNA from 1 species